rnacentral:rRNA from 1 species
CCUGCCUUGGAGUGGGGAAUAACAGCUAGAAAUAGCUGCUAAUACCGCAUGAUGCAGUGAAGUCGCAUGGCUUUGCUGCCAAAGAUUUAUCGCUCUGAGAUGACCUCGCGUCUGAUUAGCUAGUUGGUAGGGUAACGGCCUACCAAGGCGACGAUCAGUAGCCGGACUGAGAGGUUGGCCGGCCACAUUGGGACUGAGAUACGGCCCAGACUCCUACGGGAGGCAGCAG